UUAAGUGUUAAUAAAAAUAAUAAUCUUAUAUUAGAUACAGGAUAAUAUUUUAAAGUUGUUUAGAAAUAUGUUGUUUUUGAUUAUUCUUUGAUAUAUAUACAACUUAUGGGAUAAGCAGAAAGUAAAUCAAUUUUGCGUUUGAAUGAAAGUUAAGUUAUUUUCGAAAAUAAAAAAAAUAGUGCUUGAAUAAUUAGAUAAAAAUAAUAAAAAUAAGAGUAAUCAUACUUUUAAAAUAAUAAUAUUUUACA
rnacentral:lncRNA from 1 species